GAUGAACGCUGGCGGCGUGCCUAAUACAUGCAAGUCGAGCGAACAGACGAGGAGCUUUCUCCUCUGACGUUAGCGGCGGACGGGUGAGUAACACGUGGAUAACCUACCUAUAAGACUGGGAUAACUUCGGGAAACCGGAGCUAAUACCGGAUAAUAUAUUGAACCGCAUGGUUCAAUAGUGAAAGACGGUUUUGCUGUCACUUAUAGAUUGAUCCGCGCCGCAUUAGCUAGUUGGUAAGGUAACGGCUUACCAAGGCGACGAUGCGUAGCCGACCUGAGAGGGUGAUCGGCCACACUGGAACUGAGACACGGUCCAGACUCCUACGGGAGGCAGCAGUAGGGAAUCUUCCGCAAUGGGCGAAAGCCUGACGGAGCAACGCCGCGUGAGUGAUGAAGGUCUUCGGAUCGUAAAACUCUGUUAUUAGGGAAGAACAAAUGUGUAAGUAACUAUGCACGUCUUGACGGUACCUAAUCAGAAAGCCACGGCUAACUACGUG
rnacentral:rRNA from 1 species